CUCCCUACGGCCCCUCGUUUAAACAAUGUCCUCCAGCCAGAGCAACCCAGAGAGCCUCUGAUCACAGCACAGCCUUGGACUUAUUUCAAGGGAAAUUAACCCGGAAAGCCCUCCUCGAGGCCGUGAUCCUGAGCGUAUGCCCCUGGAAAAGCUAGGGAUGAGCACCUCCCUGAACUACAAGUCCUUCUCCAAAGAGCAGCAAACCAUGGAUAACCUGGAGAAACAGCUGAUUUGCCCCAUCUGCUUGGAGAUGUUCACCAAGCCUGUGGUCAUCCUGCCCUGCCAGCACAACCUCUGUCGGAAAUGCGCCAGCGACAUUUUCCAGGCCUCCAACCCCUACCUGCCGACGAGGGGAGGCACAACCAUGGCGUCGGGAGGCCGCUUUCGCUGUCCCUCCUGCAGGCACGAAGUGGUCCUUGACCGGCACGGCGUCUACGGGCUGCAGAGGAACCUGCUGGUGGAGAACAUCAUCGACAUCUACAAGCAGGAGUCCACAAGACCUGAAAGGAAGUGUGACCAGCCAAUGUGCGAAGAGCACGAAGAUGAGAGAAUUAAUAUCUACUGUUUGAACUGUGAAAUGCCCACCUGCUCCUUGUGCAAAGUUUUUGGUGCCCACAAAGACUGUCAAGUUGCUCCUCUCACAAACAUUUACCAGCGACAGAAGUCCGAGCUGAGUGAUGGCAUUGCAGUCCUGGUGGGGAGCAACGACAGAGUGCAAGGGAUAGUCACGCAGCUGGAGGAGACCUGCAAGACAGUUGAGGAAUGCUGCAGACGACAGAAAGAGCAGCUGUGUGAAAAAUUUGAUUAUCUCUAUUCUGUACUGGAAGAAAGAAAAAAUGAGAUGACACAAAUAAUCACUAGAACCCAAGAGGAGAAACUGGAACACGUCCGCUCCCUGAUGAAGAAGUAUGCGGAUCAUUUGGAAGCUGUGUCAAAGCUUGUUGAAUCAGGAAUCCAGUUCAUGGAAGAACCAGAAAUGGCCGUGUUUUUGCAGAAUGCCAAAACAUUGCUACAAAAAAUUACUGAAGCAUCUAAAGGUUUUCAAAUGGAAAAAAUAGAGGAUGGGUAUGAAAAUAUGAACCAAUUCACAGUGAACCUCAGUAGAGAAGAAAAGAUAAUACGAGAAAUUGAUUUUGACAGAGAGGAGGAGGGAGAAGAAGAAGAGGAGGAGACAGUGGAUGGUGAAGAUUUGGACGAAGUCCACACAGAGUCAUCAGGAGAGGAGGAGGAGGAAGAGGUGGAGGAGGAAGGGACUGAGAGAGCAUCACAGCCACCUCAGCAGGACCCUGAACCACAGAGCGCAGCGGGAGAGCCCCCAGCUGAACCCGCUCCAGUGCCACUGCCUGCUGCGCCGGCUGGUCAGGAUGAUGUUGUGACACCAAGUGGUUCUCAACAGACCCCAGAGUCUGACACUCAAGUGCCGGCCACAGCAGAAACCAUCGAUCCCUUGUUUUACCCUAGCUGGUAUAAGGCUCAGUCUCGGCAAUCAAGCAGUCCGAGCUCAACCCCGGUGAGUGGGUUGGGGAAAGUAGGGCCUCCUGUUUCUCUGGAAACAAGUGCAAAGAAGGCAGAAGCCCCGGCAGCGGCAGCAAUCGAGGAGAGUGCACCGGGGAGUGGUAAGGAAAGUAAUACCACUGCAGCGACAUCCAAGGAGUUAGCAUUCUGCAUAUCACUUUUGGCAUUUCUUGUCAUACUACAUCAUCUUUGGAAUCUGAUUCAAUACAUGAUUUGUACUUUCAUGGGGCCGCUUCACUCUAAGGAAUUGUAUCGAUGCAUCAAGAAGUUUCCUCCGGAGUGCAGGAGGGUGUAUCAGCAGGGAUACGGCAACAGGAGGUGCAGCCCGCAGAUGUACAGAUUGCUUGGUCUAAGAAGGGACGGCAGGAGAUGAUUCAGCAUGAACAAAAUAGGAAACUCCACACUAGAGAGAUGCAUCCCACUUCAGGGAGUGUCUAAGUCAGAAGUAUAGUCACCACAGGCUGCUUCUGUGUCUGACGGAGGAUGGGAGGCAUCUCCAGUAAGAGAGACAGUUCACCAGCUGCUGCUCAUUCACUCUUGGCACCUCUUCACAUCUGCCUGCUGAGUACUGGUUCUGAACCAUCCCCUCAAGGACGAGUGGAGGAAACUCCCGUGAGCAAUGAGAGGGGUGACGAGCCGGCUCGUCAUAUC